rnacentral:rRNA from 1 species
GAUGAACGCUGGCGGCGUGCUUAACACAUGCAAGUCGAACGAAGCACUUUUACAGAUUUCUUCGGAAUGAAGUUUUAGUGACUGAGUGGCGGACGGGUGAGUAACGCGUGGGUAACCUGCCUCACACAGGGGGAUAACAGUUGGAAACGGCUGCUAAUACCGCAUAAGCGCACAGUACCGCAUGGUACAGUGUGAAAAACUCCGGUGGUGUGAGAUGGACCCGCGUCUGAUUAGCUAGUUGGCAGGGCAACGGCCUACCAAGGCGACGAUCAGUAGCCGACCUGAGAGGGUGACCGGCCACAUUGGGACUGAGACACGGCCCAAACUCCUACGGGAGGCAGCAGUGGGGAAUAUUGCACAAUGGGGGAAACCCUGAUGCAGCGACGCCGCGUGAGCGAAGAAGUAUUUCGGUAUGUAAAGCUCUAUCAGCAGGGAAGAAGAAAUGACGGUACCUGACUAAGAAGCACCGGCUAAAUACGUGCCAGCAGCCGCCGUAA